CAUAUCACAUCUUCCCCAAUUCAAUCAUCUCCCUAAAUUCCCAAACCCUAAAACACCAUAAACCUAUCUCUUCUUCCUUAGUAAUCUCUCUCCUCCUUUCUCCUAAUUCAGUCUACUGCGGAACCCUAACUAACCACCAAAACGUCGCCGUUAAGGUCAUGGACGCCGGUUCUCUCCAAGGCGAACGUGAGUUCCAAAACGAGAUCUUAUUCGCCGGAAAAAUCGAAUCGGAGUACAUCGUCACAGUAAUCGGAAUGAAAGACCGAUCGGAAACAACGCCGUAUGGUGCUGGUGUACGAGCUUAUGGUGAACGGAAGCUUACAGGAUUGCUUGCUUGUGAAAAAGUGUGGAAACGAUGACGUUUAAUAGCAAUUGAUAUUGCUAAAGAUUGGGGAUUUAGGUUUAGCUAGCUUAAAAUCUGAAGAUGGUGUCGAAUUGAUGUGAAUUGUAAGGUUGUUGAGGAUAAUGGAUCUGUGUUUGAGGAGAUUGAAAGUGUGGUUACAGUUACUACGUUACUACUGUGUGUGAGGAGUUUAGUGUCGGUGCGGAUAAUCGGUCACCGGAGAGUUGUUUUACCGUUCUGGAGAGAUGGCUGAGGAAGAAGAGACAUGUUUAUGGUGUUUUAGGGUUUGGGAAUUGAGGGAGAUGAUUGAAUUGGGGAAGAAGAUGUUAUAUGUAUGUGUGAACUUUUUGGUUCUAUUUUUUAGUGAAUAUUUUAAAUAAAAACAUGAAAUGACCAGAAUAUCCUUAAGUGGAUAGAUAUAACUGAAAAUUUUAACUUGGUUAGUGCUAAAGGACGAAAGGUGUAAUGUGUUUUCCAAAUAAAGGACUAUGACUGUAAUUAUUGAAGUUAAAGGCUAUGCAUUGUAACACGCUACAAACAUAAAGGACGAAAAGUGUAAUUUACCCAAAGAAAAAAUAACCACAAUGUUUUUCUCUUCAAACAUGCUCCGGUUCGAAUCCCUCUUCUUCAGGAACUUUAUUUACUUUUCUUUUCCUUUCUUUUUCAUCUUCAACUCAAACCCUAGCUCUUCUCCGACGCCGUUUACAGAUCUCCGUCGACUAAUUUCUCACAUUCUUUCAUCAUUCAGUAUUUUAGUAUCAGAUCUGUAUCGAAUCCUAUCUUACAAUAUUAUUCAAUUUUACAUCCGAAAUUCAUCCCCAAACCACCGGUUCAGAGGAGACGAACUCUUGUCUUGCCUAAAGGGACAGAGGCAGCAGGUGUGGUGACAGCCGUUGGGACAGGGGUGUGUGAUUUGAAAAUUGGGGAUGUUGUUUAUCAUCAUUUCGGGAGUCAGGUUGCCUUUACUGUGAGAAAGUGCUUUGUUAUUUUUUUCGAUGCAUUUGUUAAGUAUGUUAUGGAAACAAUUGUAUGCAGUGACCUAAAGCUUUAAAUAACAGUGAUUUAAGGAGGUUGUAUGCGUUAAAAAUAGACUUUGGGCGGCUUUCAACCCGUUUGACGACUCGUUAUGUUUUAACUAAGUUUUUUUUGUUUGACAUGUUAGUCCUGCUUUAAUUGUUGUGUCUAACAUAUGCUUAGAGGGAGAAUUGGUUUCUCUGUUCUACAAAUAUACUAUCAGUUGUUUUAUCUAUUUCGUAUUACAACUAAUCUAAGAACAUUUACAUGGGUCAGCUAAUGUAAACCAUCUUCAUACAUUAGAAGAGCACUUUAUCCAGCCGAAUCGCAGUGUAAUCAAUGUGGGUCUGUAUUUAAUUUUACCUGAAAGCAGCAAAUGUUAAUACAGGUAGAACAAGAACACAAGGUGUUGGCCAUUGAUCCCUGUAGGGGAUGGUGUUUAGUGUAUUUGGAAACUUGGCAGGUUGACCGGGUCAGGUAUCGGGCCAACACGGGUUCGGUUUAUGUCAUUUUAGUAUGUGUCAGCAGUGGCGAAGCUUGAGAUUUCCGACCCGGGGGUCGAAAACGUAUAUACCAAAAAGUUUCUAUAAAACCGGGGGUCGAGAACGUAUAUACCCAAAAAUUUCUAUACGAAAACUACAUAUUCUCCACUACUGAGCGAAAAGUUCGGGCAAAUAUGCUUGGUGCCACUGUCAUUGGAACUGUAUCAACCAAAUAGAAGGCUUUGCAAGCUAAUGAAGAUGGAUGUCAUCAUGUUAUUAUCUACAAAGAAGAGGAUUUUAUUACCCAUGUUGCUGAGAUGAUGAAAGAGUUGAUGUUGUGUUCGAUUCUGUGGGAAAAGACACCUUUCAGGGUUCUUCACGUAUUGGAAUGACUCGCUGAUGCAGCUCAAAGAUCCACAUCCAUGACCCGACCCGACCCACCCUCCAAAAUACUUCAUAUGCCCGAUACUCAAGGAUGUUAUGGUCGAUCCUUGUCUUGCUACUGAUGACCAAUUUUACCAUUGACGAGUAGGAGCUUAACGCCUAAUUACACACUUCUUUUCACAAUUAUGAAGUGGAAAUCAACAACUUAACAUUUGACU